ensembl:miRNA
CACACCAGAAUUACCUGGGGAGAUUAUUAAAAAUACAGAUUCUUGGGCCCCACCCCCGGAGACUGUGAAUCAGUAAGUAGAUCUGGGGUAGGGCCUGGGAAUUUGUAUUUUUAAACAACUAACUUCAGGUGAUUCUGAUGCCA